UACGGGGGGGGCAAGCGUUGUUCGGAAUUACUGGGCGUAAAGGGCUCGUAGGUGGCCAACUAAGUCAGACGUGAAAUCCCUCGGCUUAACCGGGGAACUGCGUCUGAUACUGGAUGGCUUGAGUUCGGGAGAGGGAUGCGGAAUUCCAGGUGUAGCGGUGAAAUGCGUAGAUAUCUGGAGGAACACCGGUGGCGAAGGCGGCAUCCUGGACCGAUACUGACGCUGAGGAGCGAAGGCCAGGGGAGCAAACGGG
rnacentral:rRNA from 1 species